rnacentral:rRNA from 1 species
GACCGAGUAGGGUUUUCUAGGCCCCCCUCCCACCCUUUGUUUAUCCGACCUCUGUUGCUUCGGCGGACCCGUCUUGAUUGACCGCCGGAGGACCGCCCCCGCGGCGCCCUCUGGCCAGUGUCUGCCGGUGGCCUAAUUUCUCCAACUCUAGUUAAACAUGAUGUUAUGUCUAAGUGAUUUAUCAAAUCAAAAGCAAAAACUUUCAACAACGGAUCUCUUGGUUCUGGCAUCGAUGAAGAACGCAGCGAAAUGCGAUAAGUAAUGCGAAUUGCAGAAUUCCAGUGAGUCAUCGAAUCUUUGAACGCACAUUGCGCCCUUUGGUAUUCCGAAGGGCAUGCCUGUUCGAGCGUCAUUAUCACCCCUCAAGCCCCCUGUGCUUGGUGUUGGACGGCCUGGCGGAGUGCACGACACUCUGCCCCUCCUAAAGACAAUGACGGCGGCCUCGUGGCACCCCCGGUACACUGAGCUUCUUUACCGAGCACGUACCGGAUCAAGGGUGCCCGGGACACGGUCUUCUCCCRCACGUGUGUGGAAACUUUCUCUAGGUUACG